UACGAAGGGGGCUAGCGUUGCUCGGAAUCACUGGGCGUAAAGCGCGCGUAGGCGGUUACUUAAGUCGGAUGUGAAAGCCCUCGGCUUAACUGAGGAAGUGCACCCGAAACUGAGUAGCUAGAGUACGAAAGAGGGUCGCGGAAUUCCCGGUGUAGAGGUGAAAUUCGUAGAUAUCGGGAGGAACACCGGUGGCGAAGGCGGCGACCUGGGUCGAGACUGACGCUGAGGCGCGAAAGCGUGGGGAGCAAACAGG
rnacentral:rRNA from 1 species